UACGUAGGGUGCGAGCGUUGUCCGGAAUUAUUGGGCGUAAAGAGCUUGUAGGCGGUCUGUCGCGUCUGCUGUGAAAAUCCGGGGCUCAACCCCGGACUUGCAGUGGGUACGGGCAGACUAGAGUGUGGUAGGGGAGACUGGAAUUCCUGGUGUAGCGGUGAAAUGCGCAGAUAUCAGGAGGAACACCGAUGGCGAAGGCGGGUCUCUGGGCAACAACUGACGCUGAGGAGCGAAAGCGUGGGGAGCGAACAGG
rnacentral:rRNA from 1 species